rnacentral:lncRNA from 1 species
GCACAUAUGCUUUACAAGAAAAAGAAGGGCCGUCGUCAAGAAGAAGACGCGCACAUUGCACAUGUUGAUUGAUCGCCUUGGCUAAAGAGGGGGUGGUAAUGCUACACUAAUAUUACACGUGUUUUACGGAGUAGUNNNNNNNNNNNNNNNNNNNNNNNNNNNNNNNNNNNNNNNNNNNNNNNNNNNNNNNNNNNNNNNNNNNNNNNNNNNNNNNNNNNNNNNNNNNNNNNNNNNNNNNNNNNNNNNNNNNNNNNNNNNNNNNNNNNNNNNNNNNNNNNNNNNNNNNNNNNNNNNNNNNNNNNNNNNNNNNNNNNNNNNNNNNNNNNNNNNNNNNNNNNNNNNNNNNNNNNNNNNNNNNNNNNNNNNNNNNNNNNNNNNNNNNNNNNNNNNNNNNNNNNNNNNNNNNNNNNNNNNNNNNNNNNNNNNNNNNNNNNNNNAAAUCACACCGUAAAAGGCCCCUGGAUGUAGGAUUACUCCGUAAAGCGUGGUGAAGUGGAGGGAUCGAAUGGAUCACAACGGCGAUGCGGGGUGUAAAGAAACUGUGCGAAUGAACAGUAGUCAAUCACUAUUGAUGGAUGUCGAUGAUGUACAUAUUUAUAUCCCUGGAAGGGACGGGUCGCACAGGCGCGACCUUUACAAGAGAUGGAUCGAAAGAACGCGUCCGUUACAAUAGGACGUGACCCAUAGGGAGAGAAACCGUACAUCGGUUUUGCUAAGCAGGGAUUUCCAUUAAUUAAACUAAUUAAUUAAUCCUAACACUCCCCCUAAUCUCUACUUCAAUUGUUCUUGGCAACAUCAUCAUCAACAUCUUGAUCAUCAUCAUCACGAUUAGUCUCCUCCAAAAACCCUGUAGGAAAAAUAUGAGGAGAUAUGUACAAUAUGCCAUCAAAAACUCCUUCCAAAAACCCAGUGGAAAAAUAAAGAGAAACCGACAUAUCACAAUGCCUGCAUUACUAUUGCCUCAUUAAAAACCUCCCAUAAGAAACCAUUUAGGAAAACUUAUAAAGGAAAAGAGUGCAAUAUUAAAGAUCCGAGGAUCACAAACAGAUUAUCAUUCAGGGAGACACUCCCCCUGAACUUUGCAAAUCCCGAAGUCGUUUCAUACCAAUUCCAUUGAUGUACUUCUCAAAUAAAGAACUUGGUAAUGACUUUGUAAACAAAUCAGCAAGAUUAUCACAUGACUUCGUUUGCAAAAUAUUUAUCUCCCCGGUCUGUUGUAACUCAUGGGGAUAAAAUAACUUAGGAGAAAUAUGCUUUGUAAUAUUACUCUUUAUAUAACCUGUUUGCAUUUGUGUAAUACAUGCAGCAUUAUCUUCAUAGAUAAUAGUGGGUGAUUCCAAUGAUCCAAUCCCACUUGAACUUUCAAUAAAGUUAAUCAUUCUGUAAAGCCAUGCACAUUCACAUGAUGCUUCAAACAAAGCAAUAAUUUCAGAAUGAUUCGUGGAUGUAGCCACCAGAGUUUGUUUUGUCGACUUCCAAGAAAAAGUCGUACCUCCACUCAAGAAGACAAAACCAGUAUGUGAUCUGGCAUUAUGGGGAUCCGAUAGGUAUCCAGCAUCACAAUAUCCCACCAUGGUCUUAUCUUGAUUUUUCCGAUAGAACAAACCAAGAUCUUUGGUGCCUUGAAGAUAUCUGAAAAUGUUCUUCACACCAACCCAAUGCCUCUUUGUUGGUGAUGCACUGAAUCUAGCCAAUAAACUUACUGCAAAUGAUAUAUCAGGCCUGGUGCAGUUUGCUAGAUACAUUAAUGCUCCAAUAGCACUGAGGUAAGGAAACUCAGGUCCUAAAACCUCUUCAUCAUCACCCUUAGGUCUAAAUGGGUCUUUAUCUCUUUCAAGAGAUCUAACAACCAUUGGUGUUUUCGAUGGAUAUGCUUUAUCCAUAUUAAAUUUCUCAAGAAUCUUUUGGAUAUAAGCAGACUGAUGAACAAGUAUUCCUGAAGGAAGAUGUUCAAGUUGUAAGCCCAAAAAAAAUUUAGUCUUACCCAGAUCUUUCAUCUCAAACUCCGUCUUAAGAUGAUUACUUGCCUCAUGUAUUUCUUGUGUAGUCCCAAUGAUAUUUAGAUCAUCCACAUACACAGAAAUAAUGCAAAAUCCAUUCUUAGAUUUCUUAAUAAACACACAUGGGCAAUCACUGUUGUUUGAGUAACCCUUCUGAAGAAGGAAUAUACUCAGUCGGUUAUACCACAUUCUUCCCGACUGCUUUAAGCCAUAUAAUGACUUCUGAAGCUUUACGCAAUACAUGUUGCGAUUAGCCUUUGGAUUCGGAAGCUUCAUUCCCUCAGGAACUUUCAUAUAAAUAUCGAAUCCAGUGACCCAUAUAAAUAUGCGGUCACAACAUCCAUCAGUUGGAUAGACAAAUUCAUUUCCACUGCCAGUGAUAUUAAAUAUCAGAAUGUUGUUCCACUCAUAACAGGAGAAUAUGUUUCAUCAUAAUCGAUGGCGGGUCUCUGCGUGAACCCUUAUGCUACAAGCCUCGCCUUAUAUCUCACCACCUCAUUGUUCUCAUUCCUCUUACGAACGAAAACCCAUUUUGCUCCCACAGGGAACACAUGCUAAGGAGUGGGCAUUACUGCAGUAAAUACCCCUCUUUUUAUGAGCGAGCGCAAUUCAUCCUCAAUUGCUCCCUUCCAUUUGGACCAGUCUGAGCGCUUCAUGCACUCUGCCAUGGACUUAGGUUCUCGAUCCAAACCAAGGCCUUCUGCAAUUCUAGAGGCGGAAUAAAUGUCGACAACUGUAGUCUCUCUACUAUAUGAUUCUCCUGAAUCAAUAUAAUUAAUGGAUAUUUCAUCAAUACCUUUUGAUCCUUCGUAAUUUCCCUCAACAAUUGGAUCAAGGUCUUCCGAUGUCCCAACACCAAAAUUUGUGUGCACACUCGUGUUGGGUUCUGGAUGUCCAACAUCCUUCAGGUGUCCUUCAACCCUAGGUUGAAUAUCAACAUUUUGUUGACUUGCAUUUACUAUUUGAGAAUUCAUCAUUCCCCUUGGACGCUUCUGCAAAGCCUUGUCCUUUGUGUCCAGAUUCCUCCCCCUCUUGGGUGGCUGAGUAGAUCUAUGGGUCACAUUCACUAUCUCUGGCACAUUCAUAGCGGGAACAUUUGAUUUUGUGACACCUUUAUAAUCAGUAAAUGCAUCUGGCAGAUUAUUUGCAAUAUUUUGCAAAUUUAUAAUCUUCUGAACCUCCAGUUCAGAUUCAUUCGUACGUGGAUCUAAGGACUGGAUGCCUUUCACAUCCCAAUCUAUUUCACGGCAUUCUUUGUGGUUAUUCUCUCCCCCUAAUGUCGGGAAAUUGUCCUCAUCAAAAACGCAAUCAGUGUACCGAGCUGUAAAUAAAUCCCCUGUCAGGGGUUCCAGGUACUUAAUAAUUGACGGAGAAUUGUACCCCACAUAGAUCCCCAUUCGUUUAUGAGGGCCCAUUGAUGUACGCUGCGGUGGUGAGAUCGGUACAUAUACCGCGCAACCGAAUUGCCGCAGAUGGGAAAUACUUGGUUGGUUUCCACGUACUAACUGCAAUGGGGAGACCGUAUGAUAUGCAGUUGGUCGAAUUUGUAUCAAUUCUGCAGCAUGUAAAACUGCAUGACCCCAACAUGAAGCUGGAAUAAGACUAUUUUGCACGAGCGGUCUUGCUAUCAACUUGAUUCUCUUGAUAAGUGAUUCCGCAAGACCAUUCUGGGUGUGUACAUAAGGUACUGAGUGCUCCACAGAAAUGCCCAAAGCUAGGCAGUAAUCAUUAAAUGCUCGUGAACUAAAUUCCGUAGCAUUAUCCAUUCGGAUGGUUUUUAUCCUAUGCUCAGGAUGAUUUGCUCUCAAUUUAAUGAUCUGAGCAAUUAGCUUUGCAAAAGCAUGGUUCCUUGUUGACAGUAGACACACAUUUGACCAUCUCGUUGAUGCAUCAAUUAGGACCAUGAAAUAUCUGAAUGGUCCAGAUAAUGGUUGUAUUGGACCACAAAUAUCUCCUUGAAUGCGUUCAAGGAAAUCAAGUUGCUCAUCCUUUAAUUUCAUAUAAGAUGGCCUUGUGAUCAACUUCCCAGUUGCACAUGCUAUGCAUACAAAAUCCGAUGAUUUGGGGAACUUUCUAUCCGUUAUGUUGUGUCCAACAGAACCAUCAAUAAUUUUUCUCAUCAUCCCGAUAGCAGGAUGUCCCAGGCGACCAUGCCAAAUCUUGAACUUAUCAAGAUUCUGAAAAACUAUCUUGUACGCCAUAUGUGUCUCUGGUUUAAUGUAUGUAUAAUACAACCCAGAAGAUAGAGAAGGCAAAUUCUCAAGGACUUCCUUUUGAAAUCCCUUUUGCUGAGUUAUGAGUAGGCAUUCAGCCCCACUCUCAUCAUUAGUUUCCACAUGGAAACCAUUUUUGCGGAUAUCCUUAAAACUCAGCAAGGUACGAGUAGAAUCUGGAUACAGUAGAGCAUCCGGGAUUACCAAUUUAGUACCCAUAGGGAGUGUAAUUGUAGCUUGACCAGAACCAACAAUUACCGUGUCUCGACCAGCAAUUGUCAUGACACUUCCAUUACUCUUCUUGAGUGUCUGAAAAUACUUCAUCUCCCUAAGUAUCAUGUUAGUAGAUGCACUAUCCACUAAACACAUUUCCUCCUCCAUUGUAUUAUUCCUUGAAGUUCUAUAGAGUAAAAGAACAAGGUUCAGUAUAUAAUCAAACUCUUAUAGAAUCAAUACAUACAUUACAAACUAUACAUGUCUUGUACUUAUUACAAGUCCUAUGUCACACGACAUAGCUAACACAUUAUGCCUAAGGACAUAACUUAUUUUACAACACAUGUAAUAUGUCUAAUAACAUCAUUACAAUAUUUAGACAAAUGAGACUAAAUCUGGUCUCCAUAUAUGUCAGUAGAACCAAAUUCCACUAGCAUGUCAUCGACAUCUAGUAUUGGAUCUUCCACUUGCCGAUUUUGCUCUUGGUUGUCCAUGUUCGGAGAAUCCUCUCGAGAACCAUCAACCGUAGGGGUACCAUCUUCAUUGCCAGUGAAGUGUGCUUCAUACUGGUUCCCUUGAGCCUUCUUGCCCUUUCCAAGUGACUGUUGGUACAAUUCCACAAAAUGCUUGGAAGUGUCACACUUCUUUGCAAUGUGUUCCUUACAACCACAUCUGAAGCAACAGGUGUUGCUAGCCCUUUCAUUCUUCUUGAAAGAACCUUUUCCCUUUUGGACGCCAUACUUAUUCUGCUUCUCAUUACGCUUCCACUUUCCAUUGAAUGUCCUACGGUUCUUUUUGGAACCAUUGAACUUUUGAGUAUUCUUAGAGUUGAAGUGUGAUUCAGGCAGAGGCAUCGUUCCUGUUGGACGAGCCAAAUUGUUCUUCUCAAGAAGCUCAUUGUGCUUCUCUGCCUGAAGCAGCGAGUAAAUCAACUCGGAAUACUUCUUAUACUUUUGCUGACGAUACUGUUCAGCAAGUAUCCUCAUAGAAGGAUGGAAAGUAGAAAGCGUCUUUUCAAUAAGAUCAGCAUCAGAAACUGCACUAUUACAUAAUCUCAACUUGGAGUUGAUCUUAUGAACAACAGAAUUGUAUGCAGCUACAAACUUAAAGUCUUGGAAUCGGACUAGUGCCCAUUCCUGUUGCGCUUCAGGCAACAUCACCGCCCUUUUAAGGAGUUCCAGAGUGUCAGAGGGCUCUCCUCCAUCAGAUACUCUGUCUUUAGGUCAGGGUGAAGAUGAUGUCGAAUGAAGUGCAACGCUGAAUACCUUAUUAUGUCUGUUACGCAUGCAGUCCCUUGGGCAGGUGUGGUUAUAGCGGAAUUGAGUCCCUUGGCCGUCAAAUUGAUUUUGACAUCCAUUGCCCAUGUCAAAUAGUUAGAACCAUCGACGGCAAGUUCAGCAAACUCUUUUUCAGAUAUGUCAGCCAUAUCCUGCAUGCAAUCAUCAUGCUUAUUAAUUUACUCUCAUAGUAAAUUAAUUGUGUUGUAAAUAAAACAAUGCAUGUAUAUUGAUCAACAUAUAGCAAUUGCCAAAUUGCCGGAACAUAUACGUUGACAUACAUUGUACUUGUACAAUAUAGUGAUACACACUAAUUACUGAACAAUACAAUAUAGUAAUUUACACAAAUUACUAAAUAACUAGUCACAACUUCAAACUGCUAGUUAAAGAACUAAACAGAAAAAGAAAAACGAAAAAAGGGUCCUGGGUCGCAUACAGGGAGACCCAAACCAGUAGCACAGCCCACUGCUACAGUAUUUUUUUUCAUUUUCCUUCUUUUCUGCGGCUUAGAACUAGGCUUAGGUCGCAGCCCAUCAAGCCUUUCAGCCCAACAGGCCCGGCACCGCUUUAGCGCUGAAUAAAAGUGGUCGACAGUUAGGGUUUCCCCUACCGCCGCCGAUCCCCAUCCCACGUAGUGGCACCCUCCUCUGUUCCUGCCGCCGCGCCGUACACACGCUCACCGGCGAGCCACCGGCGGCGAAGGAAGGGAGUCCUCCUCGUCCAACGAGGGGCUGUAGUCAGGGAUGUCCACUCCAUUCUGGAGUCCGUUGGCGAGUCCGAGCGACGCCGGAUCCCACGCUCCUAGACGGCGUCCAGGACGACGGUCAACGGCGGUGACGGAGCGGCCGAAGAGGAGACGGCGGCUCGCGCCGGUGUUGGGCAGACCUGCGCUGCCGCUCGUUCCGGCGACGUCCGUGGCAGGCGUCCCACCGGUGCCGAAGAGGAAGGGGCCCUGUUCGCCGCGAGGAGCAGGGGAGCGGCCAAACGCCCAUGGGGCACUGCUUGUCCCUGCGGUGGCCAUCUCAGGCCCUGGACCGGUGCUGCCACUUGCUCCGGCAGUGGUGGCCGCGCCCACGGUGGCCAUGGCGCGUCCUGGAGUCGGGAUGAAGACGAGGCCAUCGCCCCUGGCGCUGGCGACGCGCGUCGGAGCUGGGCUGUAGCCGCGUGCAGGUACGUCGUGGACGAUCUCCCGCUCAUCCUCCUCUGCCGGCGUUGGUGACGGCAGACGUGUGCCACUGGAGCGAGCGGGGCACGGGCCAUAUCCGUGCACACGGCACCACCGUGGUGCGGAUGGAGCGGCAACUGGAGGCUCUUGCACGCCCAUCCCAGUGUUCUGCGGUGGUGGAGCAUUCAGUCCGGCAACUAGCCCUGGGUCCAGACCCUGACGGUUGUCAACCGGCGUGGCCAGGCGGUGGUUCUCCGGCGUGGCGCGACGGCGUCGUCCAGUGCCCACGUGAUGGCGGCGUCCUCCAGCGAAGUUCUGGCAGCGGUUAAUGCCAAGGCCAGAAACUGCUGGUGGUGGCCCCAUCGAUGGCGGACGAACCGGCGGCGCUGCUCAGCAAGGAAAUGGCAGCGACCUUCUUCCCAGAGAAGACCAAGGAGAAGGGAGGCGAGAGACGACAUCCUCACUGUUCCAAGUCCUUCUCCGGCGAGUUCCUGUGUGUGGCCUGUCGCUCUCGCUAGUGAGACGUGCGUGAUAACGUGUAAAGAAACUGUGUGAAUGAACAGUAGUCAAUCACUAUUGAUGAAUGUCGAUGAUGUACAUAUUUAUAUCCUUGGAAGAGACGGGUCGCACAGGCGCGACCUUUACAAAAGAUGGAUCGAAAGAACGCGUCCGUUACAAUAGGACGUGACCCAUCGGAUGAGAAACCGUACAUCCGUUUUGCUAAGCAGGGAUUUCCAAUAAUUAAACUAAUUAAUUAAUCCUAACACGGGGUCGCGCUCACCCCCGUCGCGUCGCGUGGUGGCCGGCGUUCGGCAAGGUGGUGGCGCCCGGCACGCAACCGGGGUAUUUUGAGACACUGUAACUGUACGCCUGUAACAGGGAUUUAUUAGGCCGUGAUGGAACGCCUGGACAAUGAAAGAUUCUGAUUGUUGGUUGGAGUCUUCUCCCUCCUUCAUAGCUGCAAGCCUUAUGGCUGAUUGUAAUAAAUUUUCCAUUAUGCAAUAAAGAUCAAUAUUUCUCGUCGAAAAAAAGGAACUUCUAUACAGCGACUUGUGCGCUGGAAACUCAGCGAACGCGACUCUCAGUAAAAAGUGCACAUGUGGCGCUCCCUAGUGUUUGCGAUCUUAUUUUUUAUGGGCGGUUUUAAGCAUAAUUUAUUUUUUUUUCACCCUGCUUUCUACUAAUAUGCUUCAAGAAAAUUAGAAAAAGUUUGCGAUUUUUCAAAAUGUUGUCAAAUUUAACAUUUAGCGGAUUCAGAAAAUGUAUGCGCAUUAAAAAAACUUUUUUGUGAAAUAGGAGAAGUCCAUUCAUUUUUUAAAUCACGAAUUCAAAAAAUGCUCAGCAAUUUUUUCGUCAGUUUGAAUAUUUGUUAUGAAUUCCGAAAACGUUCACGAAUCAAAAAAAAGUUUGCGAACUUGAAAACAUAUUAUAAAUUUUAAAUGUUCACGAAUUUGAAACAUAUUUAUGGAUUCAGAAAUAUUCAUGAAUUUCAAAAAUAUUCCUGACUUCUUGAAACAUGUUUCCGGUCUUAAAAAAUGUCAAAAAUUUCAAAAAAUAUAUCAUCAGUUCGAAAAACGUUUGCAAAUUUAGUAUAUGGUAAAAAAAAUCCAAAAAUGUUCAUGUGUAACAUAAAGCACACGUACGGCACGGCUCGUACGCUUUACAAGGAAGGAGCAUAGUCAAGACGAAGACUUACACAUGGUGAUUUAUAGCUUUUGUCGAGUGGAGGGAUCGAAUCGAUCACGCCGGCGGCGCGGAGUCACGCUCACCCCCGUCGCGUGGUGGCCGGCAUUCGCCAAGGUGGUGGCGCCGGGCACGCACGCACACCGGAUAUUUUGAAACACUGUAGCUGUGCCCGAAAUUCUAUUAGGCCGUGAUGGGACGCCUACACGAGAACUUCUAUACAGCGACCCGUGCACUGGAAACUCAGCAAACGCACCUUUCAGGAGUCGCGUAGGGACGUCUGCUUUUCUUUCUUCCGUUCGAAGAUCAGAUCCACGUGUAUGGAUCGUUUUGUUACUCUCAUAUAGUUUAGGUUUUAAGAUUAUUCAUCGUCUUGCUUCGGCCGCGGCGAUGGCAACACUAAAUAAAGUUUCUUCAAAUCCUAUUCUGAUGAGACGAUCGGUCCUAUGAUUGAAGAUGGAUUUGAAAACUAGUAUGUUCAAGUAAGGACGGCGUGGAUGCAGCGACAUCCUGGUGAUGGAUCUGUGUCCUCGAGCUCCAGCCGUUGCGAUGGUGUUUGCUCCAGCGCCGGCGCGGAGCUUAAGAGGUAGUCCGGGAGUGGAUGCAAAUUGUGGUCUGCAUCGGCGGCAUAUGAAAGAUGGUGGAGGGUGUGCUGGGUUCGUGGUUCGUGGAUGACAGGUAUGGUUUUCUCCUCCGGCGUCUUAUUCGUUCAACGAUAAUGGUUUCGCCGUUGGUGAGCCACCUUGGAGGUCCGCAAAACUGUAUAUCAGCGAUAAAGUCACUUUGAGCUCGAUUGUGAAGAUGAUCCAUCAUUUGUUCAUUUGGUGGCUGUUGUGGUGGUUCCAGAGGCAGGCGAUGGAUAUUCGUGUCAAGUUCAGAGGAUUUUUUGGUCUUGAUUGUAAUUUUACUUUUUUAUUGUUGUUUCUUUGUACUAAACCUAGCGUUAGUUUGUAGUGGCUUGUAUUAUGAUCAUUGUGAUAUAAAUAAGAUAUUACCAUGCAAAAAACACGUCUUUCAGUACAAAGUGCACACGUAGUGCCCCCUAGUGUUUGCAUUGUCAUUUCAUUAUAGCUGGUUGUAAGUGGAAUUUAUUUAUUUCAUCCGGCCGUUUACUCACUUCGAUCUUUCUUAGUCUGCAUAUAAGAUUUAUCCAAGGUCAAACUAUCUUUGCUUCGAUCAAACUUAUAGAAGAAAGUUUCAAUAUUCAAAAUGCCCGAUCAGUAUUAUCAUAUUGUGGUUGUUGAUAUUUUUUAAUAUAAAUUUGGUCAAACUUUGUAAAGUUUGACUUGACAGAAAUCUAAUACGCGGAGUAAAAAGCACCGAAGAGAGUACUAAGAUAGUUCAAAAAAAUUAGACAAAUGUUCGCGAUUUGAGAAAAAUGUCAUCAAAUUUAACAUUUAACAAAUUCAGAAAACGUGCGCACAUUUGAGAAACUAUUUGUGAAAUAAAAAAAUUCAUAAUUUUAAAAAAUCACUUAUUAAAAAAUGCUCAGGAGUUUGUUCAUAAGUUUAAAUAUUUUUUAAGAAUUCCAAAAAAAUGUUCGCGGACUGGAAAACAUAUUCGAGGAUUCAAAAAAUGUUGAUGAAUUUCAAAAAUAUUCGUGAAUUCAAAAAAUAUAUAUGCGAUUUUAAAAAUGUGUAUGAAUUUCAAAAGAAAUAUCAUGAGUUUGAGAAAUGUUCGUGAAUUUCAAAAUAUUCAAAAAUUUCGUAUAUAUUUAAAAAUUUUGAAAAAAAUUCCGUGAAUUUAAAAAUUGUUCAUGAAUUUCUAAAAAAUCACAAAUUUUGUAAAUAUUCAGAGAUGUCAUUUGUAGUCUAUCUCUUUCUAUAUAUGGAAAAUCAAGAAGCUCUCAUUGAAACAUCGAGAAAUUGUGCAUAUUGAAAACUCUAAAGAAAGAAAAAACAAAGACCCAUGCCACGAUUUUCAAAUAUCUUCUAUUUAGUAAUCUAAGUUUCUCGAUGAGGAUAAUUAAUUCGGUUGUUAUGGUUGGACUCUAUUAUAUAUUUCUGACUACAUUCUCCAUAUGCCCCUCUUAGAUCUUCUUUCUCCAAUCUUGGAUUAGGGAAGAAGGGGAUAUUUACGAAUACUGCUGGUUUCAUUAUGGGGCAGCUCACGAUCUUCAUGUCGAUCUAUUAUACACAUUUGCAUUUAUUCUUUCUUAUCUAAACAGAUGGAAGAUCUUUCCAAUUUGGUUAUACUCCCUCUGUUCCUUUAUGUAAGGUGUAUAAUUUUCAGCACGGUGACAAAGACACUUAAUUAUAGACAAGGUAGGACGAAAUUACCCUUGAAAAAUUUGUUGGUUAAUGGCAACUAAAUCAGUUAGUCCAAGAGAUACAUGCAAUCGAUACAGAGAUACUUUUCUUCUUUCGCUACAAAGGGAGAUACAGACAAUCGGUAGAGAGUUACUUCCCUUUUUAUGAAGGGUUAACAAGGGAAUUAUCAUGAAUUAGAAGAAAUGCACCUUACAUUCUGAAAUUUUAUCAAAAAACAAAUACACCAUAUAUAAAGGAACGGAGGGAGUGUUAUAUCAUGGACUCGAAAAUGGAUCUGAAUUUGACAAAAAUGCAUGAUCUUCACACGUAUCAUUUUUCAGGAUACCUAAAAGGUGGAAUAGCGAUUUUCAAACCAUUUCCUAUAAGAGAAUCGUUUCCAUUAUUUUGAGAACUGUAUUCUCAUAUCAAACUACAUCUAUUGUAGUAAAAAACUAAUAGCAGUCAAAGACGUGGAAUGAUAGUGAAUAUAGAGAAAGAUUCUUCUGAUUUUCCUAUUCCUGAAAAUAUUCUAUCUAUCUACUAGAGGUCAUAGAGAAUUGAGAAAUUUCAUGUCUUUCAAUUCUCGUACUCGUAAUUGAAUGUUCUGGAAGGAGACCCAUCAUUGCAAUAAUUUUCAUGAGUUUGAAAAUUGUUUGCAUAUUUUUAAAAAUUGCAAAAAAUUGAAAAUUCUUCAUGAUUUUAAAAAAUAAUUUAUGAAUUGAAAAUUGUUCAUGAUUUAAAACAGUAUUAAUUUCGAAAUCGUUCAGGAUUUCAAAAAAGUUUGUAGGUGUGAAAAAAGGAAAUAGAAAGGAAAAAUGUUUAAAAAAAAGAGAAAGACAAAAUCAAAAGAAAACCAAAAUAAAAACGAAUAAAUCAGGUCAGAGGAGGUUCCCAAAAACCGGUGAAGAAACACACAGUGAAAGCCACAAAAGAGUUUAAAAAGGCACAAAAUGGGUCGACCCAUGUAGCAUCGGUGCCGCUGCAUGGGUGCGCUUUUGCGUGCUAACCGCCGCAGUAUGUGGUAAAUAUGAAUUGCCGCCUGCACUGGCACGUGCAUGCAGUACGGACACAUCUGCAGUUUAUGGUGGCCACAAAGGAAACCACGAGCAUACAACAUAUUUUUCUUCUCGGAAAGCUAUAUAUAUGUCAACUGUCACAGUAGUACAAAGGGAAAAGUUUGUACAUAUGAUAAACUUUAAUAAUAGAUUUGAUUUUUUAAUCAUUAUAAGUAAAAGGUACAUCCAAUCCUUAAACCAUCUAGCGACGUCUAUAAGCAUUGGAGAGAGUCAAAGGCGUGCCAUCAUCAUCGUCCCAACCUCACCCAAGCCAAGAAAAUCUUGCUGUAGUAACAGUUAGGAAGUCGUUGUUCCAAGGCCCCGCAGGACUAGCGCACCAGAACUUCAAUUGCCGUCGAUGAAGAGAAGCGUAGAUGGUAAGGGUCCGACCUAUAAACACAUGAACACAUACGGACAAAAGUUAGAUCCAAGCAGGUCUAGAGUAGACCAGAACAAAAGGAAUGUCGCGAGAUCCGAUGAAGACACAUCUUCACACACCCUCCGACGACGCUAGAUGCACAGCCGGGACGUGGGAUCAGCGCGGGGAACCUCAUUCCAUCUUCACGGAACCACCGUGCAACCUCGCCUUCCUAAGCAUGACACAAACCCUAACUGGCCUUUAAAAUACUAAAAAUAGAGACAAGCUCCCUCCCGUCAGCAGGAGCCUGGGUCCACUGUGCCUAGAUGAUCCUAAGACCACAGGAGACGAGGCAGACCGAUGGCGGCGCCGACGAAAGAGAGGAACCACCAACUUGUCCUUGAGUUUCUAGCGGUGGCUGAGCAAACCCUUGAGCAUGGGACAUAUUAUUUAUACCUAGCAUUUCGAAUGGCAAAAGAUGUUACUUCAUCUAUCUAUUAUAUACUAAAAGUAAAAUAUUGAUACAUACAAAGAAUUAGAUUAAAAGUUUCCAAAAGAUUAGGAAGACCAAACCUUUAAUUUAUUGUAGACUCCACAAAAGUAACAAUCACAAUCGUCUGACCUCUGUGCUCCUUGUAUUGCGUGUGACCCAAUCUUCUCCACCAUCAUGUCGCCUUGAUCAUCCUCGUAUCUACACCCCCACCGCUAUAGCCCUAGAUAGCAUCGUCUCCUCCACAACACUUCCCUGAUGCUCCUACUACUACAUCAUGAGUACAAAAUACAUACUGAAAUUGUGACAACUGAGGCCACAACUCAUCAAAUGCCAAGUAUUGUGAACCAACUGGAGCCUAUAGAACAAACUACAUACUAAAACUAUAUGUAUAAUAUGAAACCAUUGAAAAAUUACAGCAGCAAAGGAGAUAUGUGCACCAAAAAGAUUUUAUUGUAGAACCUUGAUGGAAAUGAGACUUGUCAGCCCAAUUAUUUUGUAGAGUGACGAUUCUGAUACAGAACCGUGCAAAAGAAUUAUUGCCAGCGGCGGAGCCAGUGUAGCAACGUUGGGUUCACUUCAACCCAACGGAUUUUCUUGACCAACUAUAUAUAGGUAUGUAUUCACUUGACUUGAACCCAAUAAAACCCAUCGAAUGUGACGUGGACAACUAAAUAAAAGGACCAAAACCAUGAGCAAUGACUAUACACACAUGCCUAAUUAAACCGUGACUUGAUUAGUCACGUACGUUGUUGUAUAAGCACGUCAGCCGCACGCCUCAUAUGUCGUCUCUUAUCUGUAGGUUUUUUCAACUCGCAUCUCGUAUAUGUUUGUGUAUAGCUCGGCCGGCGGACUCAGGGGCAAGUAGAUCGCUGCAGAUCCACAACGGCAAGGUGGUAAUUGUAGCCCCAAAAUUGAGAUAAUUAAUAUUGCCAUAUCUCCUUCCUCUUGUGCGUGUUCUAUCUGGCCUAAUAGCCUAGUGUGAUAAUAAAUAUUUUUUCCUUGCUUUCUAAUAUAUGUUUUCUCCAUGGACUUUGAUUGAUCUAUGCUAUGGGAGGUAUUAAUCAAAGAGAAAUCUGUCACCAAAUUCUAAUAAUGACGCAGGCACGUCAAGGUCACCCAUUAGAAGUAGGCAAACUGCAUCAAAUGUCACCGCAGCUGGUCUCCUGAAGCCUUCUAUUCAUAGAGAAAUUAUUCUAGAUGAGUGGCCUUAUGAUCCGGCUGAUCGAAAGAGAAUUUCAUAGUACAUGAGAAAUUCUAAUAAGAAGCAAGAUAUGAUUAUGUAAAGACACUUAACGAGAGGACCUUACAGGCCACCGCUUAAUUUUGAUUUUUCGUAGAGGGAUGUUGGUGAUACUCAACGGAGACUUAAUCCAAACUAGUUUGAUGCAUAUGGGAGUUGAUUGAGUAUAAUGAAAACCAUGCAGCGGGUGACAUGUUUCUACGUACAUACGUGGUCAACCGGCUACCUGUUAUGCGCUGACUUUCAUUGUGAAUUAAGGUGGCACGCAGCGGCCGUGUGAGUGUGUACCUGUAGCCGGCUAGGUGUAGUAUUGUCAGAUCAAGUUGCUUCACUGGCAUGGUAACAACAAGAAGAAAACAAAUUGGAAUAUUCUCGUCUCUCCUUUAGACCGGCAAUUGUUGUUCAAAAUAUUGGUACGAUAGCACAUCCUCUCUGUAUUGUGCAAGUCUUACCUAGCCCUAAUGGUUUUUCUUGACCCUUGAUUGAGUCAUAGAAGGAUGCUUUGCUUAAUUAUAUUUAUUUAUAACUGGAAAAGUCGACAUGCCAUUUUUUCCCCUGGAAGACGUAAUCAAGCUGCAGAUGAAACUACAAGCUGUUCGUUACAUAUUAAAGGGGUUUUUACAUUUUCAUUCAAUCGAUAUUUAUUUAACCUGUAGUUUUAUGUAAUUAUUAUAUGUGGUAUGAUAUUUUGGUUCCUUAUUUUCUUUUCUUUUGAGUGUUAAAUCAUAGUAUUAGAUUGUACAAACAAUCAGUGNNNNNNNNNNNNNNNNNNNNNNNNNNNNNNNNNNNNNNNNNNNNNNNNNNNNNNNNNNNNNNNNNNNNNNNNNNNNNNNNNNNNNNNNNNNNNNNNNNNNNNNNNNNNNNNNNNNNNNNNNNNNNNNNNNNNNNNNNNNNNNNNNNNNNNNNNNNNNNNNNNNNNNNNNNNNNNNNNNNNNNNNNNNNNNNNNNNNNNNNNNNNNNNNNNNNNNNNNNNNNNNNNNNNNNNNNNNNNNNNNNNNNNNNNNNNNNNNNNNNNNNNNNNNNNNNNNNNNNNGUGUGAGCUUAGAUUGGAUGUUUUUAGGAAACUCCUCCACUGCAUACAAUAGUUUGUUCAUACCUAAAUCCUUAGUGAACCCAGUUUAUGAUCGUGUUGGCUUUCUUGAGCUCAUUUGCGAUCGUGUUGUUCGGUCUCUUUAAUCGCUGGACAGUGGUCUACAGAGUGCAAGGGUUGCAGUUUGUAGAAGAAGAAUCAGACUGUUUAGCAAAAUAAUCUUAUAUAACUACACUACGAUCAAGAUGAUAUCGAUGGAUAAUUAUAUGUUAUCGAUUUUUCUGUAGAAAUUAGGGACUAAGGAGUAGCUUGAUUGUUGUUCAGACUUUAGAAGGGUGGAUGUGGAGCUCUGCAUUUUAUCUUUGGGAGUGAAUUUAUUUUUGAGCACACACAGCUAUGUCACCUCACACACACUAAUUAACAUAUCCGUUAAGUUAUUUUAAAGCAUAUACUAGACCAUGUUGUGCAUUGCCGCGCCCGUCAUUUUUUGGCAAGAAUUUUCAUUUGAUGUAUAGAGCCAUGGAACAUGUAGAUUAAAUACAUACAUACCAGAAGAAUAAGUUGUUUAUUUUGAUGAUUGGUUAUUACUCUUUGAGGGAUAUAUCAGAUAACUGAUGGUAACAAGAAAAAAUAAAUAAAUAAAAAACUUAGCAAAGCAUACAUUUGAUCUAAGUUGAGACUUGAGAGCAGACAAAUUAAUCCGCCAACUAAGUACAUAAUGCCUCCCAGCGAGAUAAUGGCCUACUCUUUUUUACUGAAAAGGGGAUCCGUGCAAGAAAUUUAAAUAAGUCAAGGAAAAUAAACCAAUAAAUUAAGGACAAACUAUGUAUAGAAUAGAAAUAAGUUGAGCAAUCAUUCCAAGGCGAGGAAUAAAAUGGCAUCAGCAAGGAACUUAUGGCUGUUAAAUGCAUCCAGCUGUGACAAGACUGAAUUUAUAAAGUAAAGCGUUACCCAUUUCAAAAUCAAGUUAACCCCAAGUUCACAUUCACUUGAUCCCUGGAUGGAAAUGAUAAAAGAAAAAAAAAAUCAAAACCACUCUCGACACAGUCCACUUCCAAACAAAUGACAAGAGCUUCAGACCUUGAACUUAUAUAAGUGUGUCAAAUACAUGUAUUGGAAUUAACUUGAUGCAUUCAACUGAGUAAAGAAAUUACAUCUCUGGAUCAUCCAAUUUGUCAUUGUACUUUUUUCUGCGAGAAAACUUUCGAUCUAUUCAUCAAUCAUGACAGUACAACGAACAUCAGGAUAAUAAAAAUUACAUUCAGAUCCGUAGACCACCUAGCGACGACUACAACCACUGAAGCGAGCCGAAGGGGUGCCGCCGUCAUUGCCCCUCCCUCGUCGGACCCGGGCAAAACUUGUUGUAGUAGACAGUCGAAAAGUCAUUGUGCUAAGGCCCUAUAGGAUCAGCGCAACAGAACAGCAACCGUCGCCAAUGAAGAGUAGCGUAGACCGGAAGGAUCCAACCUGAAAACACAUGACCGGAGACGAACUACAAUCAGAUCCGAACAAAUCCACCAAGGACAGAUCUGCCGGAGACACACCUCCACACGCCCAUCGAUGAUGUUAAACACACCAUCGAGAUGGGGGCUAGGCGGGGAGAACCUUAUUCUAUCUUCAGGGAGCCACCGCCGUCUCGUCUUCCUGAGCAGGAUGCAAAUCCUAACAAAACACGAAGAAACCACUGAAAACAGACCCCUCCCGCCAAAAAAUGCUCUAAGAACAUUUUAUUUAUGAACAACAUUCUGCGACACUAACACAUAUGCAAAUGGAACAACGGAUCAUACAUUAGCAGCAGUUAGCUUCUCCACCCGCAAUGCAUGCAAGACAUGCUUCUCGAUUAGUGGCCUGACCUGAGCAAACAAAUGGACACAAAUUAGAUCAAUGUGAAUAUGAGCUUACAAAUAUUUAUCUUGUGUUGCAGACCACUUAUUAAACACACUUGGCAGAAAAAAAAACUGUACAACUUACAACACCAAAUCAUUGAUUAAAGAAUGUUGUAGUCUUGAUUCAGACACACUCACAGCAAGCAACAUGUUUGGUAAGCUGUACCUGAGCAAAAAAGCAUUAACCCUGCAUGUCCAUAACUGUUUCAAACAUGCAUGGAUAUGCUGACCGAUUGCAGAGUAACAUGAUAGGAAGAAAAUAAAAUUACCUGCAAACAGAAAAAGUUGGUCUCAUGUCUCACAAGGCUGCAGCUACCUUCUAUAAUGAAAAACGUGAACCUUGCUCACUUCAACAAAGGAGGAAGGGGAUCUGGGUGAUUUUAUUUUCAAGGGGAUAAGGAUAAUUCUCGUUUUGAGUGGGUUGGGGAGGAGAGUGGAGAAGGCAUGACUGGUGAGGGAAUGCGGAUGGCUACGAUCUUGGACGGCAGUGUGGCUGUGCGCCAGUUCGUUGGCGUCACGGUGGGUAAGAAGGUGUGUCACAAUGGGCGCUGCCGCUGGAGGUCUAGAUUGACAGCGGAGUGCUCCACUCGAGGCCGAGAUCAGGGGAGAGGGCCCUGAUGGCCUGCUCCAAGCAUAUAGCCUUCGCUCCUUGUCUCCACCAUCGAUUGGUCACUCAUGUUCAACGAGCGGAUGACGAGUCCUUCAUCCAAAGGCACAGACGACGGUUUUAGGACGGAUGGAAUCAAGCAUGGAAGGGAAACCGACUGGAACGGUCUAGCGGUAAGGGAAUGGAGCAUCUGCGGCUAGGGCUGCAAACGAAUCGAGUUCGAGCGAGUCGAACUAGGCUCAGAUCAACAUAUACUAAAACUCGAGCAAGCUCAAACUUAGUUAAGCUCAAGGUCGAGCUGUAGAAAGUGACUCAUGCUCAGCUUAUAACGAUCUCGAGUCAUUCGGAAGCAAAUUUCGAGCUAAAUAACAUGAUAAUUCUUAAUCUAAGACAAAUUUUCUAACAAGAUAUACCACAACACAACAUAAAAAAUCACUAUAAAAUAAUAUUCCAAUCAAAACAUGGUAAUAUAAAUUUUAACACAGCAAGCGACCAUGGAUGGGCAAGUAAAGAAACGAAAGUGCGUCAGCUCUCAAACUUGGCCAAAAAUAAUAGGAUAUUUAACACACGGUCUGCAUAUUGAGGCCUAAGUUUCCUCUACCCUUAAUUAAGCUUUCAUGUUUGCUAGUCCUAGUAGAUAAAAGAGAUCUCUAGAUAAAAUGGAGAAAAAUCGUACACAACAUAUAUGUGGUAAUAAAUUAUCCUACUCCUUUCUACCAUAUAUCAUGAUUAUUUAAUAUCAUUAUAUUAUGUUAAACUAAAAUCAAGCGAGCCGGUGUUAGCUCAAGAUCAUCUCAUUCCUCCUUCGAGCUAGAUAAAUUGUUCAUACUUGGCUAAUUUAUUUUCGAGUCAAGUCAAAACACGAGUCGAUCUUGAGCGCUCAUAAGCCUCGAGCUUUCCUUGUAGCCUACCUGCGGCUGGGUGCCAUACUUUUUCCUUUCUACCAUAUAUCAUGAUUAUUUAAUAUAAUUAUAUUAUGUUAAACUAAAAUCAAGCGAGCCGGUGUUAGCUCAAGAUUAGCUGAUUCCUCGUUCGAGCUAGAUAAAUUGUUCAUACUCGGCUAAUUUAUUUUCGAGUCAAGUCAAAACACGAGUCGAUCUUGAGCGCUUAUGGGCCUCGAGCUUUUCUUGUAGCCUACCUGCGGCUGGGUGCUAUACUUUUUCCUUUCUACCAUAUAUCAUGAUUAUUUAAUAUAAUUAUAUUAUGUUAAACUAAAAUCAAGCAAGCUCGUUCGAGCAAGAUAAAUUGUUCAUACUCGGCUAAUUUAUUUUCGAGUCAAGUCAAAACACGAGUCGAUCUUGAGCGCUCAUGAGCCUCGGGAUUUUCUUGUAGCCUACCUGCGGCUGGGUGCUAUACUUUUUCUCUGCAUGAGAGGGCCACGUGUUGACGACAACUCAGCCUAACAAAUGGGAGCUCCAAACCGGCGCUCUCAGCGCCGGUUUAGGUUACUGGCGCAUGAAGUGUCACGCUACUGGGCCGGCCCAACUAAACUUCAAAUGAUUGCAGCGAACGUGACGCGAAAAUCUUGCCGAACCGAUUCUAGUUGGUCUGGUUGAUUCGGAAAAAAGUUGGCUGCUUGACUAGUCCAGCGUUAACUUCAAAAAACAAAAAAAGAGCAAAAUCACAAUAUAUGAAAAAUUUUGUGAACUUGAAAAUGUUCCAUGGAUUUCAAAAUAAGUUCAAAGACUUAAAAAAAUAUCAAUUUGAAAAAAAAAGUUCAUCGAAUUUGAAAAAAAGUUCAUCGGUGCUGAAAAAAGUUCAUCACUUCUGAAAAAGGUUCGUAGGAUAUGAAAAAAGUUCACUUUUUCUAAAGUUUACCUAUUUUCCGAAAAAGUUCAUCAAUUUUUUUAGAUUCAUCAAAGAUGAUAAAAGUUCACCAAAUUUGGAGAAAAAAUCAUCAAUUUUGAAAAAAAUUCGUCAAAUUUGAAAAAACAAUCUCAAAGUUAAUUUUUUUUACAAUUGUUAGAAAAUUAAAAAUGAAUACGAGAGAAAAAAGAAAAAGAAGAUACCAGAAGAAAACCGACCAAAGCAAAAAAGAAAAAAAAAAGAAAACAGGGAAAAUGUAACGUUGUUUAUUAACAUAUUGAAGAAGCUAAAGGACUUUUAAACAUCACAACAACGGGUGGCCGAAUGGUUACCAUUGUUGCCCUGUGCAUAGGAUUCUUGACUUCAAAUCAUAACCGGUGCAAGCAUUUUGAAUCUUAACAGUAGAGAAAAAAAGUUUAAAUGGGCUGGCCCAUGGCGUAAGGGCAGUGUGCCCAAACAAACUCGAAAUCACUAAUUGAGGAGUACUUUGCAAUGAGUACUCCUCUAACAAACUCGAAAACGGAUCGAGAUUUGGACGCACGGUUUAUUUCGUUUUCACCGCUAGAUUCUCGCGUCGAGAUCUUCAAAACUAGAUCCCAUAUUGAUAGGUUUUGACGAAUAUUUUUUUAUCAAAAAAACGAACGAAAAAACCGAACCAGGAGCACGUGUUUUUUCCCUUUCCAAAAAAGGCACGCCCGUGCCUCUCGUAAAAUCACAACCGUGCCUCUCGUGAAAGCAAAACUGUGCCUCUCACGGAAGGAAGAAAAAGAAAAGAAAACACAUUUUUUUCCUUUUCUGAGGAGGCACGGUCGUGCCUCUCGCGAAAGCAAACCGUGCCUCUCACGAAAGGCAAAAAAACAAAAAACACGUUUUUUUUCGUUUCCAAGAGGCAUGGACGUGACUCUCGCGAAAGGAAAAAAAACAGAAAACGUGUUUUUUUUGUUUCCAAGAGGCACGGCCGUGACUCUUGCGAAAACGAAACCGUGCCUCUCAUGAAAGCAAAACCAUGACUCUCGUGAAAGAAAAAAACACGUUUUCUCGCGUAAAAAAAUCGAACUUUGUUUGUUCCAAAAGCUAAAAAAAACUAGUGGAAAAGCAAAACGUCGAAAAAACGAGAAAAAACUGUUUAAAAAGCUAAAAACGUGUGCGAAAAAAAUAAAAAAAUAAAAUCCGGAAGAAAAGCCCAGAGCACGACACGUGGCGGGCAGCUGAGAGCGCGUCAAUGGCGCUGAUCGUUGUGAGGCUUCCGAAGGAGCGCUUAUUAAUUAGUUGCUUCCUGAACUCGAAAUCACUAAUUGAAAUUACGUGCAAAACAAACGUGUUUCUGCAGCGUUACUUGGGCUCGUUCGCCUCCGCUCUUAUUGGCGCCCACUGCAUAGUUGUUGGUGCAAACCGGCGCAUACUCUCUCCUCCUUUGGGCUUUGCCCAUUAAUAUAUUUUUGGUUCGGAAACGGUUGUAGCGCACAUUCCUGUUCGGUGCGUGCAAUUCCUGUUUUUUCGGAAGUGAACCCAGCCGGUUUUGUGAAGCUCCUAGAAGCUUCCGACAGGUUUUGAGAUGCUUCUAACCGUUUUUUUCCUUUUCUGUUUUUUUGUUUUCUAGACGAUUUUUAUUCUUUUUUCUUUUCCUUUCCUUUUUAUUUUAUUAAUGGCGUUAAGUCUUUUUAAAUUUAAAAACUUAUUUCAAAAUUUUGAACUUUUAGGCACGUUUCCUCAUAUUUGUAAUUUUUUGAAUGUUUUUAUUUAAAUUCGUGAUUUAAAAAAUAUUCGUGAACUUAUUUUCAUUUUUUGAACUUUUUUUACAUGCAUGAAUUUUAUUUGAAUCCAUGAUUUUUUAACUCGUGAACUUUUUUUAAAUGGCGAAGUCUUUUCAAAUGCAUGAAAUUUCUUUUGAACACUUGAAUUUUUUAGAGUUCAUGAACAUUUUUUGAAUCCAUGAACUGUUUUUGAAUCCCAUGAAUUUUUUUGAAUGUAAAUGUUUUCGAGUUUCUGAGCUAUCUUUUGAGUUAUUUUUUUUCUAAAUCAUAUUUUUCUUAAAAAAACUGGUCAACGGUCGACCGGUCGAAAGCGACAAGCAAAACAAAAAAAACAGCGUUGGAUCUGGAUGCUCUGUUGUUCCAGUGCUCGCCUCCAUAUGUGGGCCGACUCACGUGGAGGUGCGUGUGGGCACCGUUACCCUCGCCGACUCUCAGGGCGGUUGGGGGCGNNNNNNNNNNNNNNNNNNNNNNNNNNNNNNNNNNNNNNNNNNNNNNNNNNNNNNNNNNNNNNNNNNNNNNNNNNNNNNNNNNNNNNNNNNNNNNNNNNNNNNNNNNNNNNNNNNNNNNNNNNNNNNNNNNNNNNNNNNNNNNUGCUGGUCAGAGCAUCACAUUGCGACCAACGUCUACGAACUCGAAAUGACGUUUGCGUCGUUCCUUGUUUUCAUUUUAAAAUUUUGAAAAAAAUUGAAACUAUUUCCAUGGAAACUUAUAUGUGUUCCGCAUGGUCGCAUGAAAAUGCAUUUGCAAAAAUUGUGAUUUGUAGACUGUACAAAGAAAAAUCCGGCCCAACAACAAAAAAGGUCGACCCAUUUUGAAAAUACAUUUUUUUGUCUUUUUUUGUGUACGCUAUGUGUCAAAGUAUAAUGUUUGCAAAUUUUGGAUAUACAUGUGUGUUUCUAUUCAUAUGAAAUUUUGAAAAAAAAUUGAGCCGUGAAAAUUUGUUUUAAAGGCGUCUACCACGGUGGUGACCAUUAGCAUUUUUCGCAGAGUAUAGGCAGGCUACUUCAAACUGAAAUAGAUUGUGCACUUUUUUCUAGCUCAAGUACAACACAUUGAUAUCAUCAAUGGUUAUACGAGAGGCGAGCUAAUUUAUGGCCUUGUGCCAUUUUAUACUAUCAUGUUUGGUUCAUCUCUUCAUGCAUGAUCAAUCUACAUCAUUUUUCUCAUAUGAAAUACCUUUGAAUCAAAAAGGCUCUAUAAAUGUUUGUUUUCUCAAACUGCUUUACAUUAUUGUUUACGUAUUUGUCUGUAUAUUAUGGAAUGGAUCUAGAGCAUAGCCGUUGCAUUAUGUGGUAUUUGUGUAUGUUCAAUACAAUGCUUUUCUAUAUUGAUGAAAAUGGUAAUACACUGGCAUAGUGGGUUAGUAUGUAUAUCUGAGUGCCUGCGCAUGAAUCGUUUUGAUCAUCGUUAGACAAAGUUGUAAGCAUCGGGAUUAGAAAAGGUGCAUGUUCUUGUAGGACUCAGAAGUUGAAGGACACCAAGAGAUAGUAGUUGUUGUGCCCGGGAUUUAAGUACACAAUUGGUGAAGGGUUAUGACAUAAUCAGAAUUCAAGCAUUCAAGUUUCAAGGUAGCACGGACUCGAGAACUGCAUUGCAUAAAAUGGAGUUGCAAAAGCCACUUUGAUAUCUUAACCGCUUAUUGUCAUCACUCGGCAAGUUCUUCUUUAAAAGCAUUUUUCUUCUUGAGAAGAGUAAUUGUGAAAGCUCAUGAGGUGAGUAUGUUUGGAAGUUAGAUCUUUUCGGAAUGCUCUAUUGAAAGUAUUCUCAUUGUGCAUUGGGUACCUUGUCCAACAUUUCCAAUGCAUUCUGGCCCAAAUGAAAGGUCAAUGGUACAUGUAAUUUGUCAAAGCUUUGUAAUACAUGAUUACCGCAAAGUUUAAACCUCGGGGUUUCAAAGGCACCUCGAAGCAUCAACAAAAUGGUAGAGUAGGUUGAAUUGAAAGAACCGGGAGCAAGAAAGGCUCGUUGAGGAUACUAGAUAAUACCCGGCGAGUUGCCGCGAGAAGGAAUUGCAAUAUAUUUCAGUGAUUUGAUCGUACGAAGCUUCUAUUGUUGAAUUAAUAUUAUAUGAACUAAAGCUAAAAAUAAAUUUCAUAUAUUGGAAUUGAUUGUGUAGUUAGAACAUAUUUUGAAUAUAAGUGGCAUAACGUAAUGGAUUUUUUUCAUGCAUGUUGAGCGGACCUUUGAUGAGGUGGCGUGUAUGGGAACUGAAAAGGGUGCAUGAGAUCAAUUAAUAAUGGAAAACUUUGCCUCAUGCAUGUAGUGGUGGGCCUUUGAUGAGGUGGCAUGUGUGCAUGUUGAGAUAAAUAGGAUAGUGGGGAUCAACUUCUUAUGUAUAUAGGAUAUAGGAUAAGGGAGUUAAGACUUACUCGUUAGACAAAGUUCAGAAGUGGAAGAAUGUAUGUGCCGCCGUUGCAACGCACGGACAAUUAACUAGUCUAGAACAUAAAAAAAAUACCCCUGCCUCUAUUUUUUUAGAAUCGCCUCUUUUUUUUUUUUUUGAGUAGAACCCCUGCCUGCCUCUUGUUUUAACCUGUGGCCUGUGGGACGUACCAGUCCAAGUAGGCGAUUAAUCCAGCCGCGUGCGGCCCAACUACUCCUGUCACGCUCAGGGCCGUGCUACUGGGGGUUCAAGGCCCUCGACGUGCCAAGUCAGCCGCUUAAACAAACAGUCUCAGCAAGACGAAGCCACGGCCCGCGGCCUGGCCACGUGGUCCGCUCCCGGUCCAGUCUCCACGAACGCAGGAACCGACCGAGCGAAUCCUCCUCUUCCUUCUCCUCUUUCUCCCCCCCUCGCGCGCCGGUAUUCUCCCCCCUCCCACCCACGGCGCCGCAAAAAUGGCCUCGUGCGGAGGAGCCGGCGGCGAGGCGGCGGGGGCGGACGCGGCGAGGAGGGGCGUCGGCGUUGGGAGAGGGAGUGGGAUGCGGCUGUUCUCGCCGGAGUACUACGCCCUGUGCUUCGGCGGCGGGAUGCUGGCGGCCGGCGCCACCCACCUCGCCAUCACCCCGCUCGACGUCCUCAAGGUCAACAUGCAGGUACACGUGCGCUCGCCGCUGUAUGUUGAACCCUGCGGGGAGGGAAUGCCGGUGGGUUCGCUAAUUAGGAUUAUUCUAGCUGGCGAGAGGGAGAAAUGGUGCUCGCUCGAGGUCGAAUUACAGCGUGCUCGAUGCAGCCCGGGAUUCUUCCUGCGUGGACGAUCUCGUGCGAGCUCUGACCUAGUAUUUGAGUGUAGCAGGCCAUAUAUAGCUUGUAUAAACUUGGUAUCCUUUUAGCUCCUGGCUGAAACUGCUCCCGUGGAGAGGCUUAGCCAUGACCAAGUUUGCCUACUCCUGUAACGAUUUUACUCGGCAACGGUAGAAGAAACAUCAGAAGCUGGGGGGUCAUGUCAGAUUGCACACAAACAAGUGUAUUGUAGCUAGAACUGAAGACAUGUCCCUUUGUUGAUCUUAAAAGACAAGGCCCUUAUGUGUAUCUUGUAUGGAGACCUGUAAUAAUACUGCCAUGUCCACUUUAAUUAAUGCCUUGCGGUUUUCUGCUGCCUCAGAAAUUAUCCUAUGAAUGCCUGCGGCUGUAUAAUUUUGUUCCGUUUAUCUAUUUUUGGUAGGUGAAUCCAGUUAAAUAUAACACUAUAUGCUCGGGACUGAGUGCUCUUGUACGAGAAGAGGGCGCUUCGUCGCUUUGGAGAGGCUGGGGAGGGAAGCUAUUCGGCUACGGCGCUCAGGGCGGCUGCAAGUUUGGCCUCUACGAGUUUUUCAAGAAGCAGUAUUCUGAUGCGCUGGUGGACAGCAACAGGAGCACAGUUUACUUUCUUAGCAGCGCCUCUGCUCAGAUCAUAGCUGAUGUUGCCCUCUGCCCCUUCGAAUCGGUGAAAGUCCGUGUGCAGACACAGCCCAUGUUUGCAAAAGGUUUGGUCGAUGGCUUUCCAAGGGUGUAUGCCGCUGAGGGCUUGUCUGGGUAAGCUUCCUUCGUAUUAUUCUUAGGUUCAUUAGAUUCACUAUUGGUAUGCCUGGACAUACGAUCUUUAAUCUUCCUGAGUUCUAAAUUUAUGGAAAGUGCAUUUCUUGUUCAUUGCAGAUUUUACAGGGGGCUUUUACCACUUUGGGGACGAAAUCUUCCAUGUAAUAACUCCCCCUGUUUCACAUAUUAAUUGUUCGCAAAAUCCUAUUGUGCCAAUUAAAGUAACGUAUCAGGAAGUUAUGAGUGUAUUAAUUUUCCCGCUUAGAAGAUAAAUCUAGUUAGAUAUAUGGUGUAGGUAUGUUCUUCUAAAAAUAGUUGUAGCUAUUACAGUACUAGAGUGAAUUAAAUCUUGCUUGGUUCCCGGUUUUAUCAGAGUGAAUUAAAGGUACCCCUCUGUAAAGAAAUGUAAGACUGUUUAGCACACUAAACACUAAAGUAGUGAGCUAAACAGUCUUACAUUUCUUUACAGAGGGAGUACUUGUUGCUUGAACUGUAAAAAGGGACUCCAUGAGUUAAGUGUGAGAGGCAAACACAGGUUGCAUUUAUAUCACAAUAGUCAAUAGUGUCCACCUUUUGUCUUGUGAUGGUCAUUUGUUCUACUCAGUGAGCUAGGAACAAUGACAGUCAGUCUGCUUCUGAUACAUGGAAAGUUAUCUUUAUGUUAUAAUUGAACCUUUCCCCAAGUUAAUUAGUCCAUGUACAGGUUUAGUCACCUUUUUUCUGACAUGUACAGGUUUAUCUUAUCCUAUUUUAUUCUCCUGCAGUUUCUAUGAUAAUGUUUUCGUCAUUUGAGCAUACCGUCGACUUCCUAUACCAGAAAGUCAUUCAAAAGAAGAAACAGGAUUGUUCAACAGCGCAGCAGCUUGGUGCUACAUGCCUGGCUGGAUAUAUUUCUGGUGCUGUUGGUACUGUUGUUUCAAAUCCUGCAGAUAACAUCGUCUCUUCUCUGUACAACAAAAAGGCUAAAAACGUUCUACAUGUAAGGAUGCGACUGUACCUGUCCAGCCAACAGAUUAGUUAAUUUCAAGUCUUGACACUCUGUUCCUAUAAUAAUCACAUUGUAUCCCUUUCAGGCUAUAAAAAGCAUUGGAUUGCGUGGGCUGUUCACAAGAAGCCUGCCCAUUCGAAUUACCCUUGUAGGGCCUGUCGUGACCAUGCAAUGGUUCUUCUACGAUACCAUUAAGAUAUUUACUGGAUUGUAAGUGUGCACUUCGAUGGCUGGAAUAAUUUCCUUAUCUUCUUAUCUACAGACUGUAUUUUCUGUUGUUGGUAGCUCUUAUCUACAGACCUUUUCUGUUGUACAUUCUUGAAAGCUCUCUUGUGGAUAGCAUUGUCAUGACUGUUGAUCUGUUUAUUUCAGGCCGCCCAGUGGAGGGCUUCCUCGUGAUCUGGAAAAACUUGACACGUAAUAUGACCUGUUCUACAAAAGUUUAUCGAUACAUUUUUUUGUUUCUCAGAGGCACUCAGCAGUAUUUUACCCACAGUUCUGAGUUCUUGCUGAUUAUGACGAAUGUGAGUGAUUUGUAGUUGUAGGGAACAGUAGCUAACUGAGCCGUAUGAAGGAUUUGUAUGUUCUAGACGCAUCUUAGACAACCAUAAGUCCAUGAACUUCAGCACCCGUUUGGCACCUUGGUUACAGACUUACAGCCUGGUGUGUUUUCAGGAUGCUUUGUAGUAUCUCCAUUUCGAAGUUAGUUGUGUGAGAAAAUGUCAUUUUGUCGUGCAUGCAAACAAUCGGCUAUAGAUCCAUUGUAAAUAAUGCCGCGAAGGAUGAAAACUGGAAUCAUAAUAUUAUGUGUGAUGUUACUCUUCUUUAUUUGUUUGUAGUAGUGAUCAAAUUCCCUUGCAAGUUGUCAU